UGUCAGUAGAAUGGAUUAUUUUCUUGGAACGUACAAUACAAUAGGGCUAAUUUACUAAAACUGGAGCAGACAGAAUCUGGAACAGCUGUGUAUAGCAACCAAUCAGCUUCUAUCUUCAGCUUGCUCAUUUAAGCUUUGAAAAUGACAGCUAGAAGCUCAUUGGCUAGUAAAUCCCCCCCUUAAUGUAUGUUUUUCUACAUCGCCGUUGUUGUAAGCAUUUAACUAUCACAUCGCCUGGAGCAGACAGAAUCUGGAACAGCUGUGUAUAGCAACCAAUCAGCUUCUAUCUUCAGCUUGCUCAUUUAAGCUUUGAAAAUGACAGCUAGAAGCUCAUUGGCUAGUAAAUCCCCCCCCUUAAUGUAUGUUUUUCUACAUCGCCGUUGUUGUAAGCAUUUAACUAUCACAUCGCCUUUGCGCAAGGGAAUACGUGAUCGAUAUUCUUUAACCUCUUGACCAUCAGGUGGCUGGAUUUUUGGAAUUCUUAAAGCCCAACUCCAGGAUCCUACUAAGUUUGCACAUAUGCUCUCCUCAGGCUUUAAUAAAAUGAUGACAAAUUGUAAAUCA